rnacentral:lncRNA from 1 species
GGUGAUGAGGCUGUCCACGUUCAGCUCCCCGUCCGCCAUCUUGUCGGCACAGACUCUCCUUCCCAGCAGCGGGAACAAGGGCUUCUCGGCGGCGGAGGCUGCGGCGACGGCUCGGCGUUCUCUCACCUACAAGUCACGCGGCGUUUCGACCCCGGCUCCAACUCCCCCUUUUCCCGGGCCCUCCCCCCACCCCCUCCCCGCCGGGUAGCGAGAGCGCGCGCACACUCGGAGGCACCCACGGAAAAUAAAUAAAUAAACAAGAGAGGCCCCCUCGAACAGGGCCGCGUCAGACCCAGGCCGCCACCUCCUCCUCCUCGGCACCGCCCAGCUCCGCAAAGCUCACCAGCGCCGCCGACGGCCCCACCCGCAGCGCCACUCACUCCGCACGUCCCUUGCGCGCCGCCGCGUCACGCAGCUCUCCGCGCAGGCGCGCGGUGCGCUCCCCGCCGAGGCUCCCCUCGACGCCUGGGCCGCCGCGCAACCGCACUGGAGCGGCUUCUCCCGCUGCCGUCUUCGCGCAGAUAAUGUCUGUGCCUAUCAGAUAAAGGCAAACCAGUGCUCAGAGGAACCCAACCAUCUCUGAAUUGAGACCAGAGAGCUGUCUCUAUGGAUAGUCCUUAGAGAAGGCAUUUCGGAACACAGUAAACAGCAGCCUGGUGACUCCGAUUACAGGGCCAGUUGCCUUUGUUACAAUAAAAGCAAGUCAUCUACACAGGAGUUUCACUCGUUGCCCAGGCUGGAGUGCAACGGCGCGAUCUCAGCUCACUGCAACCUCCGCCUCCCCAGUUCAAGCGAUUCUCCUGCCUCAGCCUCCUGAGUCACUGGAAUUACGGGCGCCUGACACCACGCCCAGCUAAUUUUUUGUAUUUUUAGUAGACAUGGGGUUUCACUAUGUUGGCCAGGCUGGUCUCGAACUCCUGACCUCAUGAUCCUCCUGCCUCAGCCUCCCAAAGCACUGGGAUUACAGGUGUGAGCCACUGUGCCUGGUCCAUUAAAAACAUUUGUAAAGCUAUGGUGUUGAUAAAGUAUUAUGAAAGACUGCAAAAAAAGAUGGCUAAUUUUUAGUUAUUAUUGCACAUGUUUAGAGGAGCUAAUGACAUUUUCUAUGAUUAAUAAAAGACAUUAUUUAUGUUUUUAUUUAUGUAUUCCACAACAUUUAUUUUAUUUUCUCCAUUUCAGGAAAACCACUAUGUUGUUACAAUAAAGAUUUUCAUGUAAUUUGUGUUCAAUUGAUAGUAAUAAUGUAACAAGUUAAAAAUGAAGGUAAUUGUGUUUAAAAUUUGAGCAUAUUUUCAUCAAAAUGUAAGUUAAAGUGAUUGUAAAUUUUAAGAUCAUAAUUACUUUGUAUAUCUUCAAGAAAAUUAUUGUUUUAAAAUAUUUAUGCCUAUUAAAAUUAGAAGGCAAAAUAAAAAUAUAUGAAUACCAACAUUUUAAAUAAAAAUCAUUUAAAUA